GUUUAUGGUUCUUCUGGUUUUACGCCAUACUCUUCCAUUCUUAAUAAGCGGAGCUGGAGAGUACUCAUUGACAUUGUUCACAUUACUGAUGUUGAGAACGAUUGGGAUUCUAUUUCCAAUCUAUAUCAUGGUUAGAGCAUUCACUGCUAUCCAACGUCAGCGGCGUCAACAGGAUCCUGAAAUUUCCCUUGCCACAUCCGACGAAGAAAAUGACUUGGCAUAUCCAUCACGCUUGAUUCAAAUUCGAUAAUUGAUUCAGCCACCACUCUUGGCUGGUGGAAUCAUUUGCUAUCACUGCAACAUCCCAGAAACGGAUCAAUAAUCAAGAUCUGCAAUUAUGUGUAAUGCAGAUGAACAUGAUCAGUGACAUCAUCAUUUCAAGACAAUGUGCUCGAAGCAUCGAUUACCGGCAAACCUUUUGCUUACCACGAUUCUGAAAGCUGUGUGUAGACAGCAUUGGAUAUAAGCUUUUUUCUUUUCAAGUACAGCAUACAAAUUAUGGGAAUCCUAGAAAUCAAAGCUGCAUGUAAAUUUUAAUAGUGAGUUAAUGUAUUUUAUCCAAAAGGAACAUGAUUGCUGCUUUCACUUUUAA